rnacentral:rRNA from 1 species
GACAGAGGGUGCAAACGUUGCUCGGAAUCACUGGGCGUAAAGGGCGUGUAGGCGGGAAUGUAAGUCGGGCGUGAAAGCCCCAGGCUCAACCUGGGAACUGCACUCGAAACUGCGUUUCUUGAGUAUCGGAGAGGAAAGCGGAAUACCUGGUGUAGAGGUGAAAUUCGUAGAUAUCAGGUGGAACACCAGUGGCGAAGGCGGCUUUCUGGACGAUAACUGACGCUGAGACGCGAAAGCGUGGGGAGCAAACAGG